rnacentral:tRNA from 2 species
GCAGUGAAAGCUGAAAUUUUAAGCGUCGGUCUUGUAAAUCGAAGGAUGAAGGUGUUAAGGUCUUUCUCGCUGCU